rnacentral:pre_miRNA from 1 species
GAGACACCCUUCUGGGGCAAGACUUGCUUCAGUGGGGCUUUGGAGCUCACUGAGUCUGCCUCCUGAGUGUGUCCCU